rnacentral:piRNA from 1 species
AUCCUGUGUUGAUGCAGAUAACGUUUUGGUGU